AUACGGAGGGUGCAAGCGUUAAUCGGAAUUACUGGGCGUAAAGCGUACGUAGGCGGUUCGUUAAGUUAGAUGUGAAAGCCCCGGGCUUAACCUGGGAACUGCAUUUAAAACUGGCGAACUAGAGUUGAGUAGAGGGGAGUGGAAUUUCAGGUGUAGCGGUGAAAUGCGUAGAGAUCUGAAGGAACACCAGUGGCGAAGGCGACUCCCUGGACUCAAACUGACGCUGAGGUACGAAAGCGUGGGUAGCAAACGGAAUUAGAAACCCCAGUAGUCC
rnacentral:rRNA from 1 species